rnacentral:rRNA from 1 species
UGGGGAAUUUUGGACAAUGGGCGCAAGCCUGAUCCAGCAAUGCCGCGUGCAGGAUGAAGGCCUUCGGGUUGUAAACUGCUUUUGUACGGAGCGAAAAGGUCUGCCCUAAUACGGUGGGCUCAUGACGGUACCGUAAGAAUAAGCACCGGCUAACUACGAGCCAGCAGCCGCGGUAAUACGUAGGGCGCAAGCGUUAAUCGGAAUUACUGGGCGUAAAGCGUGCGCAGGCGGUUAUGCAAGACAGAGGUGAAAUCCCCGGGCUCAACCUGGGAACUGCCAUUGUGACUGCAUAGCUAGAGUACGGUAGAGGGGGAUGGAAUUCCGCGUGUAGCAGUGAAAUACGUAGAUAUGCGGAGGAACACCGAUGGCGAAGGCAAUCCCCUGGACCUGUACUGACGCUCAUGCACGAAAGCGUGAGGAGCAAACA